UGCGUAGGCGGAUUAUUAAGUCAGUGGUGAAAGUUUGCGGCUCAACCGUAAAAGUGCCAUUGAUACUGGUAGUCUUGAGUACAGUAGAGGUAGGCGGAAUUUAUGGUGUAGCGGUGAAAUGCAUAGAUACCAUAAAGAACACCGAUAGCGAAGGCAGCUUACUAUACUGAGACUGACGCUGAGGCACAAAAGCGUGGGGAGCGAACAGGAUUAGAUACCCUGGUAGUCC
rnacentral:rRNA from 1 species